UUCUUCCUUAACUCAUUCAAUUCUCUUUUAUUCUGAACAGAACUCUUUUCUCUCUCUCUCUCUGCUCUCUACCGCCCCUCUCUGUCCCUCUCUUUCCCGGCGAGCGUCGCCGGCCUUUGCGGCCUCCGGCGCGGCGAGGUCGGCCUCUUCUCUUCCCCCUUUUUUUCCUUCCAUUUCUUCUCCUCUUUCUCCUGAAUUUAGAAUAGAUCUAGGGUUUCUAAAUUUCCUGAAGUUUGUUCCUCCGGUGAACUCCGCCACUGCCGCCGCCGUGCUCGUCGCGCCGCCACCCCCUCUGAUUCAGGUAAGCCUCCCCAUCUCUCUUUCUCCUUUUUCUUUCUUCCUUUCUCUGCUCCUCUAUCUCGAUCUCUCUCUCUUUUCUGGUCAGGCCGCGGCGGCCGCUGCGAGCCGCGACAGCGCAUGCAGCGCCGGUGGCCGCCGCCGCCCUGCACUCCCCUCUCUCCCUCCAACUCGUUCUAUCCGUCUCUUUCUAUUUCACUCUCUAUCUCCCUGGUUUAAUCUCCCUCUCUAUUUCUCUCUCUGCUGUCAGUAGCCACCACGGCCGCCGUGGCGCCGGCGACCACCGCUGCCAGCCGUGCCUCCGCUGCGGUGGCUCGCGGCUGCUGCUGCUACUGCUAUUUCCCCCUUCUCCUUCUUCCUUCCAUCUUCUCUAUUUCCCAAUUCAAAAUCUCAUUCCAGCAAACUUCCAAUCUAAUUUCUAUUUCAGUUUUAACAUCACAAACUAAUAAAUCUCAAACUAUUUUCUGUUCCAGGAAUCGGUGAUUCAAGAUGGUUUGAGAUGGUUUCAUCGGCAGUUCAUCUACAGCCCAAGACUUUGUUUUUAUAAGACUCAGCCUUCUGUUUGGAUUAUUAUUGAUUUAUAAACUGUUGUAACUAGAUGUAUUCUGUAGAUGUUAAAGAAAAUUGAUGUUAUCUCUGCUAUUCUUGAUUACCAUCUAUGAGUGAUUACUGAGUUGAAGGAAGAAUACUACCUGCUUGUUUGCUGUGAUGACUGCUGGGGAUGAUUUAUGCUUUUGGGAUGGAUAUUUACUUUACUGUUUGGAGUUUGCAGAAUGGGGAAAAAUAAGAUUUAUGGUAACUCAUCGUAUUUAUACUCGUUUGAGUCGGUUUGAGGGAUUUGGCUGAGUGUAAAAUUGAGAGCUGAGUGUAAAGUUGGAAGAUACGUGUAGUAUCAAGCUCUACGUGUUCAUUCAAGGAGCUAAUUUGUUCUAAUGAAUUUUAACUGCUAACUAAAGCUCAUUAGAAAAAUAACUGAUUCUCUAAUAUAACUAUGAGGCAUUGGGCUUUAUAUUAUUACAUCAGCCUCUUGGCCCAAGUGAUAACCAUUGGCCCAUCUGAACUGAAUUCAUAUAUAUAACAUUGGGCUUUGGUUAUAAAACAAAAUUACUAGCCCAAACAAUAAUAUUAUUGGGCGUCUUUUUAUAAUAAAACUCUUAGCCCAGUUAAAAGGCUUAUUGGGAUUCAUCUUAAAACUGAAUUCAUAUAUAAUAACUUGGGCUCGACUACUCCAGCCCAAAAUAACUAUUGGGCUUUCUACUCUUACACAACUUUUGGCCCAUUUAUCCAUAAUUGUUGGGCUUUUUGCAUAAAAUCCUAUCAACCUUAAAAUCAUGAAAUACUCGGGCUUCUAUGAUUUUAAAAAAAAUCUCGAUAUAAUCUGCUCGUUAAAUAACUAAGUUCAGGUUUUGCAUAAAAAUUGAGACUUCUCUUUCUUCUUUAAAAUCAUAGAAAACAAUAUUAAUAAUAUAUAUACUGUGGUGAAAAUGCUGGGUGUUACAUCCUCUCCCCCUUAAAAAAAAUUUCGUCCUCGAAAUUUGCGUACCUAGUUGAACAACUUUAGGUGUUUCUUGUCUUCAAGCUCUCAUGUUGCUUUAUGUUGCCCGUAAUAUCUCCACAAGAAACACAUCAAUGCGAUUGACUGAUUCCUUAAAUCCUAUGUCUUUCAAUUCAAGAUAAUUUCUGUUCUCUUUUCAUAGAUCUAGUCUGGCUAAGUAUUAUCUCAUCCUGAUGAAUUACGUGUUUGAGGUUGAACACGUAUUUUCUUAGUUGUGUUACAUGGAAUACAUAAUGAGCACUACUGAAACUCGGGGUAGAGCUACUUUAUAUGCAACAAGACCUAUCUUUUCUAAAGUGUUACAUGGUUCUUUAGAUGUGGGCUUCAAUCUUCCUUUCUUAUCGAAUCUGUGCAUUCUUUUAGAAUGUAGAGCUUUAAGGAAAUCUCUGUCCCCCAGUUUCAAAAAUUUAACUCAAAUCGACGAGUGUCUAGCAUAAAAUUUCUAUCGAUCUUGAUCCUUCUUGAACAGUUGUUGAAUUUGUUGGAUAAGUGUAACCGUUUCUUCAACUGCAUCAGAUCCCAGCACCUUUUCUUCCACCUAUCUCAUCUCAAUAUAGUGAGGACUGACAUUUCCUUACAUAAAGUGCUCUAUAGGUGUCAACAACUGUUGCCCGAAACUAGUAUUCUAGGAAAACUCAAUGGGUAGCAAAGCUUAUUCCCAAUUUGUUCCUCGAUCUAAUACAAUAGUUCAUAUCACAUUUUCCAGGGUCUAAAUAGUUCUCUCAAAGUGACCAUCUAUUGUUUGUGAAUGAAAUAUUGUUUCAAAAUUUAGCUGAGUUAUGAAAACGGAAAGAUCAUAUGAAAUCUGGGUUGAGGUGUCAAAAAGGGUUAUGAAACUUAGGCUGCAAGAACUGGAUUAUCCAACACACAAGUUGGAACUAGCAGCAAUGAUAUUAUGGAACAAAGUGUAAAAUUUAGACAAAUCACAAAAGUUUAAAAUGCUUAUUCGAGCAAAAGAUCUAGAUAUGAGGCAAAAGAUAGCUCGAAUUAAUAAAAGAUUAUGAUUGUGAAUAAAUUAUCAUCCAUGAAAAGCUAAUAAAGUGUGGAUGCUUUGAGUAGAAAAAUUUAAGUUAACUAAGGAAUUCUCCUUACCCAUAAAGAAAAAUUCUCAUCAAGGAUUUUAAAAGGUUGUAAUUAGAAGUGGUUCUACCACUGCAAACUAUAGAAGCUGUAAUUGCAAUGUUAACAACAACUCAUGAUUUGAGAAUCAAAAUUCUUACGGUAACAAGAGAAAAUGACAGGUACAAAAUUAUGGGUAAGGAAUAGAAGGGAUUGAUAAUUCCCAAGAAGUUCGGGGUAAAGCUAUCUUGUUUGAGAAAAGAUUAUGUAUACUCAACAAAGAAUAGUUGAGAAAUGAAAUCAAAAGUUAAGCUCAUGUAUGCUAGAUAUUGCAUACCCAGGAAACACUAAAAUAUAUCAAGAUCUCAAACAAAACUUUGGUGGAAAGAAAUAGAAAUGAAAUAUAGCUUUGGUUCUAGAAACAUGUUUGGCUUGCCAACAAGUAAGGCACUACCUCGAAAACCUUAUGAGAAAUUCUAACCAUUAUCUAUGUCAAUCUUAUAAGGUGCAUAUCGAGAUAUGUCACGAAACUCAUGAUCAUAUUUAGCUACGGUCUUCUUUCCUUGCUUUAAAUUGCUAAAUUUCGUCUCCUUUUUACCGACGAUAGUUUCUGGAAACAAAUUCUUCAAAAAUACUUCUGUGAACUAACCCCAAAUAAGAUUCUCUAAUCGCUCGAGGGUAGAUAUCUUCUGCUUCGUCUCCCACUCAUAGUCAGUUGAUCCUUGUAGUUGAAAUAACAUACAAGAAGGCACUCUUGAUCAUUGCAUCUAAGAAAGCGAAACUCGCGAAACUCUACUAUAAACAGGGGAAUUUUGACGAUAAAAAACUUCCGAAAUUCGUCUUUCAAGUUGAUGGAGAUGAGUAGGUCUCUAAAUUAUUCGCAUGGCAGAUGGCAGAUUUCCAUUGCUUCUUUGAGACAUCAUGCCGAGUAAAUACACAAAUUCCCAAAAUUAAGCUUUCAUCCCAUCAAUAAGGUCAAACUACUACUUAACUAUAAAUCAGCUAAGUUAUAAAACUCAUAUACUAAAAUUAAACCAUCUAAGCAAUUAAAGCUCAACAGCCUAGUAAAUGACCACUUUGAUCAUUUCAUAUCAUGGGAAAAAUUUGCCUCAACGAGUUCUCAUACAAAAGAUGAGAAUAUACGUUGCAAAAAGGCUCUUAGUACUAAUUGCGAUGUCCUAACUGCAUAACAUCACUACUAGUACUAGGUUACAGUGCCACUGACAUAACUCGCUACUGUAUCAUCUAACUGUCUAUAUCUGCAUCCAUACAAUGUAUAGAUAUACGUACACACCAUCAUCUAAAAGAUUUUCAUUGCUAACAACAAAUGAAAAUCCCCACAUAUCAAGAUACAAGUAUUAAAAUAUGAACAACACUUUAUCCGUUCAAGAAGUUCAUACUAGUAGAGAUAUCAUAAAUAAACCAUGUUAUUCAUAUUCACUCACUUGUAAACAUUAAACUUCUCCAAUACUAGUUUCUUGCAAAAAUUGCAAUAUUAAAACUUUCUUGCAAAAUUGCAUAGUAAUAACUCAAACUCUUUCAAAACUGUAAAUUGUACUUUAAACCUGAAAAUCCAGUACCUGGCUAGCUGGAUGAGAUGGAGGCAGAGCUUUUACUAUAUUACUCAUACUAGUCCAAAGAUUCAAAUUUAGACUAACUCAAAGGAAUAUUUAGGCUCAGAGAAAGACUGCUCUGAUACCACUUUGUCACACCCGACCUAAGCUAGUGAAUAGUUAAGUCGGGAAAAAGGUGUGACUGAAAACAAAAUAAGAAAAUGAAAACGAAAAUAGAUCUCAAUAAAAAUCACUAACCUGCUUAAACAAUAAUUUACCAAAAUAUUUGGUAAUCAUAAACAACACAUCAGUAAAGUAAAACGCACUAAGCGUUGCAGCGGAAAUAGCUUAAGUGGAUUACAUGUAUGAAGACAUGGAAUCCUGAGCCUAUUUAUACUUAUAUCAAAAGCUUUUGCUCUGCUGCCUCCAUCUGCAUCACCAGCUUAACCUGCAUAUUUAGAAAACAUAUGCAGGGCUGAGUACUAAAAAGGUACUCAAUGGUCACAUGCCGAAAUAACUUAAAGCUUGCUCUUAGAGCUAUAUAUAUUGAACUUGCCUUCAGCAUCACACAGAGUUUUAUUUAAAUAACUGUGCAGCCAAAAUGUAAAACUUCUUUAUAUAUCAUCAUAACAUCAUAACGUCUGCAGACAUACUUCUUGUACUUACCAUAUCUGCAAUGAUAAUGUGUGCCGAGAAGGUGGCCACCUUCUACGGUCACUGACGGCCGAUACGCUAAACCGGCUCACGGUCCUAGACCGGCCGAUACGCUAAACCAGCUCACGGACCUAGACCGGCCGAUACGCUAAACCGGCUCACGGUCCUAGCCGGCCGAUAUGCUAAUCGGCUCACGGUCCCUUGUGUACACUAAUCCUGUCUAACAUCUGGAUAGAACAGGAUCCGAAUUCGAUUAACUUCUGGUGCCAGAUAGGUAUCAUACAAGCUCAUAAAAUUUUGGCAAGUCAAUAACUUUAAUAUAACUAUCAUGUAAACAUCAUGAAAUAGUGACUUCAAUUUUGAGUUUAGAAAGCCCACCUGAUCGUGGUCUGACGACACAAGUAACUCUGAACUAAUGCUUUACUUCUUGCCCUUGUAUGACCUUCAGUAUAAAACUGACUAAUAAAAAUGAGAAAUGAUAUGAACUGAUUUAAAGAAUACUUACCUUGAUUUUAAGAAAUAGUUUAGUGGAACUUAUGGAAUGAAGACUAAUUGCUACAUGGCGAACUUAUCAAUAAAUACCAACAUAUUAUCUAAACCACAACCUAAACUACGAUAAUCAUAACUCUAACAUUAAUCAAAACUCCACUUACUCUAAUUUAAUAAAUAGCUAUUAAUUGGAAAUAAUAUAAAUCAAUUUUUCUCUUCUUUCAAGAACUUAAGUCUAUAAUAAUCUAGUGUCUAAUUUAUGCAUAAUUACAUAGAGUAAUAGCAUAAAUUAAUUAUAAUGAUCCUACAAGUCCAGGCUAUUUAAUAAAUCAAGUCAAUUAUUAGCUACUAGCUAAUAAUCCUUUAUAUAUAUUUAUAGGCUUAAAUUAAAAUAACUUAGCUCACUUUAACAAAAUUAAGGGUCCAACUAAAUUAAUAAUAGCACAAUAAUUAAAUUAAGACCAAUUUUAAACCAAAGCCACCACGGCAUUAACCAACCCAAGCCCAACAGUAAUUUAAUUUACAAAAGUCCAUCAGCUCUUAUUAGCCCAAGUAAUUGUUUAAGCCCAACUGUAAUUACCCAUUAUUCUUUAAUAAAUAAAAUCUAAUCUAAACAAAUUAAUCACCCUUUUCCUUUUCUUCUACGCAAUAGCAUCACUCUCUCCCUCUCUCUGCGUUCUCUCCUUUUUAUUUCUACUGGCGCUCUCUCGCUCUUUCCCCCUCCGGCAGAUGUCGCCGGUCCUCCCCGCCUCCGACGCGGCGAGGCCGGCCCUCUCCUUCCCCCCCAUCCUUUUCUUUCUUCCCUACUUCCUUCCCAAUUUCUAAAAUCCCCAAAUUAUAGGGUUUGCUGCCUUCCUUUUUCCCUCUGAAAUUCGCCCCUCCGGCGAGGCCCGCCACUGCCGCCGCUGUCUCUGUGGCACCACCGCCACCUCUGUCUCAGGUAAUCUAUCUUCCUCCCUCUCUCACGAUCGAUCUCUCUCUGUCCUCUCUCUCUGCUCUCUCUCUCUCGAUCUUCCCCUCUGCCCUCUUGCUUGCGGCGGCCGCGGCAGCGGCAGCGCAUGCAGCGCCGGCGGUCGCCGCCGCUCUGCUCUUCUCUCCCUGCCUCUAUCUCGCUCUACUUUCUCUCAUGUCCGUGUCUCUCUGUCUCUGUCUUACUCUCUGUUUCUCUCCCUCGCUCAAACUCUCUCUGCUACUGGCGGCCACCGCGGACCGCCGUGGCGCAGGCAACGCCGGCAGUCGCGCCUUUGCCGCGGUGGCUCGCGGCUGCUGCUAUCGCUUGCCUCUUCUUCCUCCUCUGUUUCUGUUUCUCUUACUUUCUUUCUUUUCUAGUUUAAUAGCUUGUUUAGCAAAUCCCUAACUAUUUCCUUAUCUCAGGAAUCGAUGAUGAUUCAACUCCGGCGAGGCAGCCCGCCUCCUGAUCAAUGCUCAAGAUUCUAUUUUUUCUACCUUUCUUAUUGUAAAUUUAUGUUCUUUCAUUGAUUGAUUAUUGAAAAACUGAAGCUGUAAUGGUUGGGAAAUCGUGCUGUGCUUAUAGAAAUUAGAGUUAGAGAUAUCUCUGUUUGUGCUUAACUGGUGUAGCUAUGUCUGUUUUCACUGCUUUUCUUUACAUACUGAAUAUACUGUAUUGAAUAAGAAAGACUACCUUCUUUGAUGUCUGCUGUGGAGGAUGUGUGUUUGAAUGGAUGAUUGCUGCGUGUUUUAGAUUUGCAGAAUGGAAACGAAACGGAAUUACUGAGGCUACUCAAGAUAUACUGGUUUGAGUCGGUUGAUGUGAAGCAGCUGCGUAAAAGUUACAAGCUACGCGUCCUUCUGUUAGCUAAUCUGACUUAACAACUCUAAUUAAUGUCUUAAAUCUAAUUAAAAGUUAAUUGCUUUACUAAUGAUAUAAAGGAUUGGACUUGGAC
rnacentral:lncRNA from 1 species